rnacentral:misc_RNA from 1 species
GAAAUGCGAUAAGUAAUGUGAAUUGCUGAAUUCCGUGAAUCAUCGAAUCUUUGAACGCACAUUGCGCCCUCUGGCAUUCCGGGGGGCAUGCCUGUCCGAGCGUCAUUACGCACCCUCAAGCCCGGCUUGUGUGAUGGGCCCCGGCGUCUCGUUCGCGAGACGGGCCCGAAAGGCAGCGGCGGCGUCGACCCGAUGAGCCCGAGCGUAUGGGGACUUCUGUCACACGUUCGCGGUGCGGACCGGCGCCUGCUUUGACUUUUCUGAUUAUCCAGGUUGACCUCGGAUCAGGUAGGGAUACCCGCUGAACUUAAGC